AUGUCGGGGAGCACAAAUGCCUGGGGUGGUCCGAUGUUGGGACCGCUGGAGCUCCUCGGCGCCGCCGCCUGCCUCAUCUCCGUCUCGCAACAAUCUCCGGCAAGGACAGAGCAGCCCGCCCCAUCUCCGCCGUGCGUCGUCCCAUGGCUGGUCCGGUGGCGCUCCUCCGCGCAGACGCUGGCCUCGUCUUCGCCGCAACUCCGGCUAGGACAGAGUCCCGAGCAGGCGAACCGGCAAGCGAGGAAGGCCGCAGCGUCCCCAGCCAAACUUGGAGGGAUGGCGCUGGCUGCGCCUCGGCGCCGACGAGGAGUCUCACGCCGAGCGGCACCCCCCCCCCUAUCUGAUCGAUAUCUCAGUCGGCCCACCUCGUCGCCGGCGCAUGGCCGCCUCCUCCGUGCCCCGCGGAGAAGUUUUGCUUGGGUGUGGACUGCGAGGCGAGAGGAGUGGAUAAGGUAG
rnacentral:rRNA from 1 species